rnacentral:rRNA from 1 species
UACGAAGGGGGCUAGCGUUGUUCGGAAUUACUGGGCGUAAAGCGCGCGCAGGCGGUCUUCCAAGUCAGUGGUGAAAGCCUGGAGCUCAACUCCAGAACUGCCAUUGAAACUGUUAGACUUGAGUACGAGAGAGGUGAGUGGAAUUCCCAGUGUAGAGGUGAAAUUCGUAGAUAUUGGGAAGAACACCAGUGGCGAAGGCGGCUCACUGGCUCGUAACUGACGCUCAGGCGCGACAGCCGUGGGGAUCAAACAGG